rnacentral:rRNA from 1 species
GUAUCCUACGGGGCGCAGCAGUGGGGAGGGUUGCGCAAUGGGCGAAAGCCUGACGCAGCGACGCCGCGUGAGGGAUGAAGGUCUUCGGAUCGUAAACCUCUGUCAGCAGGGAAGAACGGUCACUGUGCUAAUCAGCAGUGAAUUGACGGUACCUGCAAAGGAAGCACCGGCUAACUCCGUGCCAGCAGCCGCGGUAAUACGGAGGGUGCGAGCGUUAAUCGGAAUUACUGGGCGUAAGGCGCUCGUAGGCGGUAUGUCAAGUCAAG